rnacentral:rRNA from 1 species
CCUACGGGGGGCAGCAGGCGCGAAAACUUUACAAUGCUGGCAACAGCGAUAAGGGAACCUCGAGUGCCAGGUUACAAAUCUGGCUGUCGAGAUGCCUAAAAAGCAUUUCAUAGCAAGGGCCGGGCAAGACCGGUGCCAGCCGCCGCGGUAACACCGGCGGCUCGAGUGGUAACCGUUAUUAUUGGGUCUAAAGGGUCUGUAGCCGGCCGGAUAAGUCUCUUGAGAAAUCUGGCAGCUUAACUGUCAGGCUUUCAGGAGAUACUGUCUGGCUCGAGGCCGGGAGAGGUGAGAGGUACUUCAGGGGUAGGGGUGAAAUCUUGUAAUCCUUGAAGGACCACCAGUGGCGAAGGCGUCUCACCAGAACGGACCUGACGGCAAGGGACGAAAGCUAGGGGCACGAACCGGAUUAGAUACCCGAGUAGUC